rnacentral:rRNA from 1 species
UACGGAGGGUGCGAACGUUACUCGGAAUCACUGGGCGUAAAGCGCGCGUAGGCGGUCUGUUAAGUGGGAUGUGAAAUCCCCGGGCUUAACCUGGGAAUUGCAUUUCAAACUGGCCGACUAGAGUACGGUAGAGGGAGGUAGAAUUUCCUGUGUAGCGGUGAAAUGCGUAGAUAUAGGAAGGAAUACCAGUGGCGAAGGCGGCCUCCUGGAUCGAUACUGACGCUGAGGCGCGAAAGCGUGGGGAGCAAACAGG